rnacentral:rRNA from 1 species
GCAAGUCGAACGAAGGCUUCGGCCUUAGUGGCGAACGGGUGAGUAACGCGUGGGAACCUGCCCCCGAGUGGGGAACAACCGCUGGAAACGGCGGCUAAUACCGCAUACGCCGGCCCAGUUUACUGGGUCGGGAAAGCUUUAUGCGCUCAGGGAGGGUCCCGCGUCCGAUUAGCUAGUUGGAGGGGUAACGGCCCACCAAGGCGACGAUCGGUAGCUGGUCUGAGAGGAUGAUC